ACAUCCGUUAAUUUGCAUGAGGCUGUGAGAAAAAAAAUCUUUGAAGAAGUCUGGCUGUCGGGCAGGCCAGUGUAGAAAAUGGCGAGAACACGGUUUCCUGGAGCAUGAAGCUGUGUCUGAGCAUCUUUUGACACCGUCCCAGGAAGAAGAGGCUCAGUCAGCUCUGAGAAGCCCCUCUGAAAAAGCUGGUGUAGGAGGGAGAGAAGUACUAACGGGUACAGGACUGUCCAGAUAACUGCCUCCUUUCGGCUGACCCAGUAAUUUGCAGCUCUGCUUUCUGGUCCCUGACACUUCAGCUAAGAUGUGCCCAGAGACACAAAUGAACAGCCUUGCUCUGAUACAGGUGGCACAAGGAGUGCGAUGGACCUGGUACACUGGUAAAGGAAGCAUUUUGAGACCUUUAGAGAGCUCCAAAUGAUGGAAUCGAGAUGUUUCUGCGGGUUCCUGACUUCCUCAACAGUCACAUGCCCACUGAGUCACAGUUCUAGAAAUAGCCACACCCCGCAAGUUGUCUUUUCAACUUACAUUAAUAUUCUCUCUUGUAUCAGAUGUUUCUAACAAGAAAGAAAUACUUUAUGACCUGAAAAGCUUCAUAGGAUCUGCCGGUCCCCUCAACCCCUCACUAGCUAAAUGUGUAAUCCCAGAUAUCAGAUGGACACUGUGUGACAGAGCACAUAAAACUGUACCUCCAGAAAACUAAAACAAACUACAUAUUAUGGACUUUCAGAAUUGAUUUGAAAAUCAACACCAAAAUACAACGCCCUUCAAAGGGCCAAGGGUACAUGCUAACCUAUGUAGUAGAAUGAAUUUGUAACUAAGAUAUCCAGCAAAGGACUAGCAUCUAAGACGGAGUUCAUCUGGCUUUCUUCUUCGUGGCUGUAUCUGAGGAAGACAAGAUUUGGCAGGUGCAUAUAUUGGAACUGAUAGAACAAGUCAUAAUCUAGCAGGGUUCCAUUCUAUUGACCAUGGAGAUGUGCAUUUCAUGAAUCUUUGCUACUAAAAGGAUUUCCACUCAUCCAAUUUAUCCAACAACUUUUAACAUCACACCAUUUUUCUGGGCUUCUUAAGGAGGUUAUUAGAGGACAGAGUAAAUAAAGAUAGGUUUGCACAAGGCUUUUUACAUCAAAGGCCAUCAAAUAAUGCUUUUAUAAAAUCCGCUUUGCGUCUGGACAAUCAACGCACGUUGGCUGGGAUGAGUUCUCUAUCUGCUUGUCAUGCACACAUAUAAGCCACUGCAAGCCAACCUUGGAAAGUGUUCCAGGAUGUAGGGUUCUUUAGAACUAGACAGACACAUCCAAAUCUUAUUCUGCAUUUAGCUCUUUGACCUUAGGCAAAUCACUUAACUAUUUUUAACCUUAUUUCUUAAUUUUUGGAAUGGAGAUAAUAGCAUUGACCUCAUGGGGUUCUUGUGAGGAUUAUGUAUAAAGUGUUUAGCACAAUGGCUGAAACACUCAAUAAGUAGAUGAUGGAUGGAUAGCUAACUGGAUGGAUGCAUGGAUGGAUGGAUGGAUGGAUACAGAGAGAGAGAGAGAGAUAUUCAAAUUUUUGGAGGAAAAGGUAAGCUUAUUUCUUAGAAACUCUUCCUGCGUCAAAUCAUCCAAUUACCCAAAUGAUAAGAUAAAUAGUUCUCAGUGUUUCACACACUGAAGUAUUAUUAAUCUUCAGCUCCAACCUGAUAAUCUCCAUUUCUUUACGGGAAUUGAACUCAUAAUUUUCUCUCAUUAUUCUUGAUUAUCUCCUCCCCCAUCCACAACUCAAUUCUGCAUGGGGAAAUAACACUCAGAGGAGACAACAGGAGGACCUAAAUUUUAUUCCUUUCUUUGCUAUCCAAUUUCACCAUGUCAUAGUUAUCCAACCUCAUUUAGUCGCUGUCUAUGAAAAAGAUAGUAUUUUUCUAGUUCAUUGGGACAACAAUAGAGAGAAAUUUGACCAUUUUUGCACAGAGCUAUUGACUCCUUAAAAUAAAAGAAUAUAUUCGUUUUGACAUAUUGUCAUCAACUACCGUUUGUAUCUUCCACUACUUGCACAAGUCUAUCCUCCCCCAGUCUUCUCCCAUCCCCUCCAAACCUCCUUCAUCUUUAUCCUUAAAUCAAACUCUACCUGCCUUUCUUUCAUUGGCAUCAGUGAAGAAGGAGUCACCACUUCUGGGAUCUGAUGCUAAAUGACUGAGGCCAAUUUCAUAGGGCAG
ensembl:lncRNA